AGUACUCCGAUAAUACUGUCUAGAACAAAUAGCAUUAAUUGAUCGUGCAAAAAUAUGAAACUAAUUAAAUUAUUUCUUAUAGUAGUUAGCUUUAUUGUUGCCAGAGUAACGGCUGCUCCACAUAAUUUUUACAUGUUAGGUAUAUCUAAACCACUGUUGCCACCAGCGUAAAUAGGACCGUAAUGUUUUCAAAUGCUAAUUAAUAAGCCAUGGACCAUGGGAAAGACUAAAUUAUUAUAUUCAUAUUAUAUUUAAUAAUAAAUCAAUUUACAGUAAAAAAGUAAUUUCUAUAAUUAUAAUUUCUAUUAUUUCUUUUAUACAGUAAAUUGAUUUUUAAAGAAUAAAAAACUUACG